GAUAGCAUGGAUCUGUCUUCACAUAAGGAAUGUAAACUUUCCCUUAUUCUUAAGAAGCGAAGAGCCAUGGAUUUGAGAGGCUGGCAGAGACUGAAGGAUGCAUGCAACUGACCAGUGAACAGUUCAAACCUGAUUUGAGGACAGUGAGGAGCCUUGCUCCGGUGACCAGAAAGGUUCCAAAGCCCCGUGACAGCGUUAGCUAAAUGUGUUCCUUGUUAAUUGUGCCAUUUUACGGCUGAUCCAAUACCAUUCGAAAGAAAUGAAAAGGUUUCCAGUUACUUCAGUGAGCUGUAUGUCAAAUUGUUCAUCUUUUCUUUAGAGAUGCACGGUCUCUUUUAGACAGAAUUAUUUCUAAGCACCUGAAAUAAUUAAAUAAACUUGAAAAGAGAUUAAAGUUCUUCUGAUUGUCAUGGUACUUCCAGCAUUUCAGAUUUCCUUUCUUUCCAUAUGGGAUUCCUAAUGCAUAAAAGUGACUUGGAAAUCUAGCUGUCCUGCCUACCCCGCAGGGUGGAUGGAAUAUCACCAAACUACUACUAACGCUAGCAAUAAGCUAAUAA